AACGAACGCUGGCGGCAUGCCUAACACAUGCCAGUCGAACGAGACCUUCGGGUCUAGUGGCGCACGGGUGCGUAACGCGUGGGAACCUGCCCUUAGGUUCGGAAUAACUCCCCGAAAGGGGUGCUAAUACCGGAUAAUGUCUUCGGACCAAAGAUUUAUCGCCUUUGGAUGGGCCCGCGUUGGAUUAGCUAGUUGGUAGGGUAAAAGCCUACCAAGGCGACGAUCCAUAGCUGGUCUGAGAGGAUGAUCAGCCACACUGGGACUGAGACACGGCCCAGACUCCUACGGGAGGCAGCAGUGGGGAAUAUUGGACAAUGGGCGAAAGCCUGAUCCAGCAAUGCCGCGUGAGUGAUGAAGGCCUUAGGGUUGUAAAGCUCUUUUACCCGGGAUGAUAAUGACAGUACCGGGAGAAUAAGCACCGGCUAGCUCCGUG
rnacentral:rRNA from 1 species